AUAAGAGGUCCCGCCUGCCCUGUGACUAUAAGUUUAACGGCCGCGGUAUUUUAACCGUGCGAAGGUAGCGUAAUCACUUGUCUUUUAAAUGAAGACCUGUAUGAAUGGCAUCACGAGGGCUUAGCUGUCUCCCAUCUCCAGUCAAUGAAAUUGACUUCCCCGUGCAGAGGCGGGGAUAAAUACAUAAGACGAGAAGACCCUAUGGAGCUUUAGACCUAAAGUAAUUCAUGUUUAAUAUACUAUGAUAACAGUGAAAACUUAGUGAUACUUACUGAAGUGUCUUUGGUUGGGGCGACCGCGGGGUAAAACACAACCCCCAUGUGGACUGGGGAUAUUAUCCCUAAUACUCAGAGCCUCUACUCCAAGUAACAGAAAUUCUGACUUUUCUGAUCCGGUAUAACCGAUCAACGAACCGAGUUACCCUAGGGAUAACAGCGCAAUCCCCUCUCAGAGCCCAUAUCGACGAGGGGGUUUACGACCUCGAUGUUGGAUCAGGACAUCCUAAUGGUGCAGCCGCUAUUAAGGGUUCGUUUGUUCAACGAUUAAAGUCC
rnacentral:rRNA from 1 species